rnacentral:piRNA from 1 species
UAAGUCCAUCUUUGGGUCCUGACAUG